AGAGUUUGAUCAUGGCUCAGAUUGAACGCUGGCGGCAUGCCUUACACAUGCAAGUCCAACGGGACAUGGGGCUUGCUCCAUGUUUAGUGGCGAACGGGUGAGUAAUAUAUCGGAACGUACCCUAGAGUGGGGGAUAACUAGUCGAAAGGCUAGCUAAUACCGCAUACGAUCUAAGGAUGAAAGUGGGGGACCGCAAGGCCUCACGCUCGUGGAGCGGCCGAUAUCUGAUUANCUAGUUGGUGAGGUAAAGGCCCACCAAGGCAUCGAUCAGUAGCUGGUCUGAGAGGACGAUCAGCCACACUGGGACUGAGACACGGCCCAGACUCCUACGGGAGGCAGCAGUGGGGAAUUUUGGACAAUGGGCGAAAGCCUGAUCCAGCAAUGCCGCGUGAGUGAAGAAGGCCUUCGGGUUGUAAAGCUCUUUUGUCAGGGAAGAAACGGUUUGGGCUAAUACCCUAGGCUAAUGACGGUACCUGAAGAAUAAGCACCGGCUAGCUACGUGCCAGCAGCCGCGGUAAUACGGAGGGUGCGAGCGUUAAUCGGAAUUACUGGGCGUAAAGGGUGCGCAAGCGGUUGUGCAAGACAGAUGUGAAAUCCCCGGGCUUAACCUGGGGAAUUGCAUUUGUGACUGCACCGGCUAGAGG
rnacentral:rRNA from 1 species